rnacentral:rRNA from 1 species
AUGGAUGAACACAAGAAUUUUCUACGCUCCAAACACCCGGAGCGGUCUGAUGACUGGAUUACACGUGAACAAACCAGGAGUUUCACCAGCUGGUUGCAGACACGUACCAUGCAUGACGCCUCUAUUGAAGAUGACCUGUACUUGCUGUCCCAAUUACCAUCUUCGAAUAUAAUGACUUUCAAAGGGUACGAGAUAAAUGGUAAUACAUUUGACACGAUCGCCCAAGAUAAGAAGAGCACCAACCAAAACAGUGGUGUCCGCUUUGAUGCAGAAACCAAGACAGGAGAAACAUAUUAUGGUUAUAUACAAGACAUAUGGGAACUUGACUAUCGACGUGGUUUGAAGGUCCCUUUGUUUCGGUGCAAAUGGGUCAAUAUGACACGAGGCGGGGUAACGGAAGACCCGCAGUACGGAAUGACAACAGUGGAUCUCAACAAUCUUGCGUAUGCAGACGAACCAUUCGUCCUAGCCAAUGAUGUGGCACAUGUUUUCUAUGUGAAGGACAUGUCUACCAAGCUGAGAAAAAGAAAAGAUAAGGAAGCGAAUGCAUCGUACGAUGAGCCAAAGCGGCACAUAGUUCUUUCUGGGAAGAGAAACAUCGUGGGAGUGGAUGACAAGACAGACAUGUCAGGAGAUUAUGAAAAGUUUGAUGAAAUUACUCCAUUCACGGUGAAUAUUGACCCGAGCAUCCCGUUAAAUGAUGAAGAUUUUCCAUGGUUACGGCGCAAAGGGACACACGCGAAGAAAAAGUUUCACACCCAAAGAUCUGGGAUGUAA